rnacentral:rRNA from 1 species
UACGUAGGGUGCAAGCGUUAAUCGGAAUUACUGGGCGUAAAGCGUGCGCAGGCGGUGAUGUAAGACAGAUGUGAAAUCCCAGGGCUCAACCUUGGAACUGCAUUUGUGACUGCAUCGCUGGAGUGCGGCAGAGGGGGGAUGGAAUUCCGCGUGUAGCAGUGAAAUGCGAGAUAUGCGGAGGAACACCGAUGGCGAAGGCAAUCCCCUGGGCCUG